UAGCGAAGGGGGCGAGCGUUGUUCGGAAUCAGCUGGGCGUAAAGGGCGCGUAGGCGGCCUCUCUUGUCGCGUAGUCGAAAGCCCCCGGCUCAACUGGGGAGGGUCACGCGUACUGAUCGACUCGAAGGCAGGAGAGGUCAGUGGAAUUCCCGGUGUAGAGGUAGAAAUUCGUAGAUAGUUGGGAAGAACACCGGUGGCGAAGGCGGGUCUCUGGGCCGAUACUGACGCUGAGACGCGAAAGCGUGGGGGAGCGAACAGG
rnacentral:rRNA from 1 species